rnacentral:tRNA from 1 species
GCCUUCGUGGUGUAGUGGUCAGCACGCUCGACGCGUAACCGAGAGGUCCGUGGUUCGAUUCCGAGCGCAGGCG